AACGAACGCUGGCGGCAUGCCUAACACAUGCAAGUCGAACGAAGGCUUCGGCCUUAGUGGCGCACGGGUGCGUAACGCGUGGGAAUCUGCCCUUUGGUUCGGAAUAACAGCUGGAAACGGCUGCUAAUACCGGAUGAUUACGAAAGUCCAAAGAUGUAUCGCCAGAGGAUGAGCCCGCGUUUGAUUAGGUAGUGGGUGGGGUAAAGGCCUACCAAUCCGACGAUCCAUAGCUGGUCUGAGAGGAUGCUAAGCCACACCGGGACUGAGACACGGCCCAGACUCCGACGGGAGGCAGCAGAGGAGUAUAUUGGAGGAGGAGCGCAAGCCUGAUGAAGCCGUGCCGCGGAAGUGAUGAAGGCGCUAGGGUUGUAAAGCUCUUUUACACGGAAAGAUAAUGACGGUACCGGGAGAAUAAGCCCCGGCUAACUCCGUG
rnacentral:rRNA from 1 species